rnacentral:rRNA from 1 species
GAUGAACGCUGGCGGUAUGCUUAACACAUGCAAGUCGAACGGUCUCUUCUGAGUUAUUUGCGGACGGGUGGGUCACGCGUGAGAAUCUUGCUUUGGGUUCGGGACACCCACUGGAAACGGUGGCUAAUACCGGAUGUGCCGUGAGGUCAAAUAGAAAUUGUCUGAAGAUGAGCUCGCGUCUGAUUAUCUAGUUGGUUAGGUAAAGGCUCACCACGGCAGCGAUCAGUAGAUGGUCUGAGAGGAUGACCAGCCACACUGUGACUGAGACACGGCCCAGACUAUUACGGGAGGCAGAAGUGAGGAAUUUUCAGCAAUGGGCGAAAGCCUGACGGAGCAAUACGGCGUGAGGGAAGAAGGCUCUGGGGUUGUAAACCUCUUGACUUAGGGAAGAACAAAAUGACGGUACCUAAGGAAUCAGCAACGGCUAACUCCGUG